CUAAGCAUAUCAAUAAGCGGAGGAAAAGAAACCAACAGGGAUUGCCCUAGUAACGGCGAGUGAAGCGGCAACAGCUCAAAUUUGAAAUCUGGCCCUCGGGUCCGAGUUGUAAUUUGCAGAGGACGCUUUUGGCGCGGUGCCUUCCGAGUUCCCUGGAACGGGACGCCUUAGAGGGUGAGAGCCCCGUACGGUUGGACACCAAGCCUAUGUAAAGCCCCUUCGACGAGUCGAGUAGUUUGGGAAUGCUGCUCUAAAUGGGAGGUAAAUUUCUUCUAAAGCUAAAUAUUGGCCAGAGACCGAUAGCGCACAAGUAGAGUGAUCGAAAGAUGAAAAGCACUUUGAAAAGAGGGUUAAAUAGCACGUGAAAUUGUUGAAAGGGAAGCGUUUGCGACCAGACCUUUUCCCGGCGGAUCAUCCGGUGUUCUCACCGGUGCACUUCGCCGGGUCAAGGCCAGCAUCGGUUUCCGCGGGGGGACAAAAGCUUGGGGAACGUAGCUUCUUCGGAAGUGUUAUAGCCCCUUGCAUAAUACCCCCGGGGGGACCGAGGACCGCGCUUCGGCAAGGAUGCUGGCGUAAUGGUCGUCAACGACCCGUCUUGAAACACGGACCAAGGAGUCGAACAUUUGUGCGAGUGUUUGGGUGUUAAACCCUUGCGCGUAAUGAAAGUGAACGGAGGUGAGAGCCCUUACGGGUGCAUCAUCGACCGAUCCUGAUGUCUUCGGAUGGAUUUGAGUAAGAGCAUAAACGUUCGGACCCGAAAGAUGGUGAACUAUGCGUGGAUAGGGUGAAGCCAGAGGAAACUCUGGUGGAGGCUCGCAGCGGUUCUGACGUGCAAAUCGAUCGUCAAAUCUGCGCAUGGGGGCGAAAGACUUAUCGAACCAUCUAGUAGCUGGUUACCGCCGAAGUCUCCCUCACAGGAUU
rnacentral:rRNA from 1 species